AGCCAAAUAUAUGCUGAGAUUUUGAAGUGAAAAUACUCUCCCAAAGUUUAUUCAAGCACCCGCCAUAUUUACUUAAUUUUUAAAACUUUCGAUUCUUCAUAUACUUCGUUAUAUACACAAGGUUUUAAACCCCGAGGUUUCGUACCACCCAACCAAGCCACAUCUCGCUUAGCUCAUUCUUAUACCACUCUUUUGUCCUCCCGAAGGGCUGUCUAAAGUUCGUGUGCAAAGCCAAAAUCCGGUCGAACCUCCGACGAAUUUUUUCGGCAAACUUUUUGUAAGUGGUUAUUUUAGCUUCGUUUUUAUUCAUGUCUUAACCGAGCAUUUUUGACAAAGGGCUUUUGAACAAAAAUAUUAUCUUCAUCUUUAAAGCUCUCUUUGGUCACAAAACGCACGAGUUAGCCACUCGUUAUAUAUUUGUGCGUGUGUUUUGUCCCGGAACCUAACUCGUAUCCUUUGAGAUUUCCUCACCAAAUUUGGAGGGAUCUUUGCCUUCGCACCAAAAGCCGGAUAUAAGGCCAAAGGUGAUAAGUUAGUUAUUGUUGUGCUUAUAAUCUGUGCUUAACUGUUAUAUCCCUACGCCCAACAUACCCUUCUUGUUUAGUGAGACACCCAUUUUUCAGCCCUGUGCUUGGUAGGGAUAUCAUUAAGAUAAGUUACGUGGUUCCCAAUCCCGUGUGUGUGAGUGUGAUUAUCGACCGCGUCAUAUAUCUAUAAAUCACUCAACAUUAAUUAAUAUAACCCUCGUAGCGUGCUCGUACGUGGUGUGCUCAAGUUAUUAAAAUCAAUACUAUUAAAAUCAACUAUUUAUAUUUUCCGCGCGAUAUAAAUUGUUGGACUAAUCAUUGUUACUACUGUUAUAAUCGACGAACCUUUAUAAUUGACUGUGAUUAGUGGAUUGAUAUUGCGGACCAAAGUCUUAUUAAACCAAAGGACAUAUUCGUAGAUAUUGUAUUCUAACUUUUGCAGUGAGGUGAAGUGAAGUGAGGUGAUCUUCGUUCUAAGACCCAAGUCCUUGACGUAUUGACCGGGAGUUAAUAGUCAUUGCACCGUGAAGAAGUGAAAAGACCCGAGAUCUAAUACCUAAGACCCGAGACCGGCAAAAGACUUAGAAGUACAAAGACUACACAAGGUUCUACAUCGACUUUGAGGAAGUAACGGGGAGUUACGUUCCAAGACAAGCUUUGUAGGUGUUUUUACAUUUAUAGUGAGGAGGUAACGGGGAGUUACGCUCCAAGAUAUAUAUUUGUAAAGGCUUCUCCGCCUACUUUAAAAGAGUAUCUUUUUAGUAGAGAAAAUCUCGAGUCCGGGGAGGAGAUCGGGGACUGUACUAGGGGUGAGUGGACUCCAUCGGUUGAAUUAGCCACCGCGAACCAGGAUAAAAUCCCUCGUGUGGUAUUUUUCGUUCUUUGCUCUUUGCUUCCGCAUUUACAACUGCCAUUACUCUAGAUACAAGCUUUUAAAAAGGGGAUAAACUUUUUAAAACGCCAUAAAGUUUUUAAAUUGGUGAUUAAGCUAUUCAACCCCCCCUUCCCCUUCUAGCUUAAUUAUGCUUGAAUAAGGACCUAACAUAGUUAAAAAUGGUAAUUAAAAAUUGGGUUUUUAGUUUUUAGGCUAAUUUGGUUUGUAUCAGAGUAGAUCUCUCUAUCUCUUUCUAUAUAUAUAUAUAUAUAUAUGAGAACUUUCUUAAAAUGAGAACCGUGAGAAUUUUUUUAAUUUAUCAAAAUCUCAUUUAUUUGAAGGGCCCCGCCAGGGGCACCUUCACAAAGAAUGUAUAUCAUUAAGGUCUCCACCUAGCUAGCCAAAAAAAAUAAAUAAAAAAUCACUGAUGACGUGGCAGUGGACUUUUUUGUUUGAUUUUUUUUUUUGACUAGCUAGGGAGAGACUAGUUUUAUAUACAUUUUUUAUAUUGGGUUCCCACUAGUUUGAUGUUUAGAUUAGCCAAAAUAUGAUAAAUUAAGGAAGUUCUCACGGUUCUCAUUUUAAGAAGUUCUCGCUGGAGUAACCCUCUAUAUAUAUAUAUAUAUAUAUAUAUAUAUAUAUAUAUAUAUAUAGAGAUAUACAAAUAAAAACUUUUUUAAGUUACAAACUUACAAACUUUUUUUUAUUAUCCCAUCGUGUUAAUCCUUAGCUAUAUAAAGUAUCCAUGUUGAAAAUUCAUCAAAAAACAUCACAAUUUUUAAAAAUAACGCAUAAAUAAAUCGCGUUUUCAACACAUUUAUAACUGAGGUUCAACAUCGGGUGUUGAACACUAAUUAUCAUUGUGUUGAAUAUAUCUAAAAAGUUUUGAAUUAUAAUUAUAUUUUCUAUCCGAAAUUUAAGAAAAAUCAGAACACUGAAUCGAACAAUUCUAGAGAUGCCCGCAUCCUCCUUUAUAUAUAUAUAGAGUAGUACUCUACUAGAAACCAAAUUAAAAUAGAAACUAGAAACCACAGGCCCAGCCCACUUUUUAAGACACCCAGUCCAGUAGCAUUGGACCCAGCCCAUCAUUACACAAAACUGCGACAGUUAAAAAUUAAAACUCACCCGAUACAAACGACUCACCGAUACACACGAUACACACGAUUCGCGCACAACGGUCCAUCACCUCCACUACUCCACUGUUCAUCUCGCGCUGCUCCACCGAGCUUAGGUACGUCUCCAAUGGCAGUUUCUUCAACUUUUCCCCUCUGUUUUCGUUCUAAUUAGGUAUAUUACAGCUUCUACGAAGAAAUUCAAGGCGAUUUUUGGAUCUCGCAACCGCAGCUGAAGCACCGAGCAAAAUAACUUGAACAUUUGUUGAAUAGGUACUUUUCUGUAGUUUAGUAGUAUUUAUAGUUAGUUAAUCAUCUUAAUCAUCUCGUAUUUUUAGUGUAUGUCGGUUUUUUUGAAUUUUAAGGGUUUUGUUGUAUAUUAUUGUGAAAACUGACUUCAAUCUACUAAUGUUCUUUCAUAACAGCUGUUAAUUAGCUUAUUUCACUCUGAAAGCUACUAAAAUAUGGCUAGAACUAGAGGAGGUAUGUUAAAUUAGGGUUUUAUCACUGUUUUUUUAAAUUAUUUGUGAUUUCAAGCAUUUACUUGUCUGAAUAUGUUGAUUUAUUGAAUAAUAUGUUGAUGAAUAUGUUGCUGAUUUGUUUAAUUAAUGAAUAUGAAUAUGUUGUUGAUGAAUAAGAUGUUGAUUUAGUGCAUAUUACUCAUCUUAAUGCAUAUUACUAAUCUCAGUUUGUAGAGUACGUAGAGUACUGAUCUUAGUGUGUAGUGUGUAGAGUACGUAGAGUACUUAGUGCAUAUUAAUCAUCUUAGUGUAGAGUACUUAGUACACAACCAGGCUGAGACAUAUGAUUUUAUAACACAUCUUGAUGUUAAUCUAGAUCAGUAAUCCACUAAGUUGAAUCAUGAUUAAGCUCCCAAAGUAGAAACAAAUGCCGUGGAAAAGUACUCUUUAUCUUAGCUAAUAAACUCAGAUUUAGUAUUGAAAAGAUGCUUAGCAAUUAAUAACUGACAGAUAUUAAAGCGAAUAUUUAACUGGUAUCCCUCUGGCAUGUUCAAACUCCAAGUUGAUUUAUGAUGAAUCAGGCAUUGAUUCAGCACCAAUGUCAAGCAGCUUAAUAUGAUUAUUUAAGACAUGGCUAGCUAAUUUUAUGAAUUAAGUAAUUAACAUUAAGUAUUACUAAUCAAUUCUUAUUAGUGAAGACUGACUAAUAAGAAUUGAUAUGAGAUUUGCAGAGCUUCUUAUUAGCGAAGACUAACAUGUAUAACUGAAAUAUUUCUUUAAUAAAACUAUUGUAGCAGAGCUAAGUGCUAAGUGUUUCUAAUCACAUAAUUUUUUAAGCCUAAAAAACAGAACAAGUUAGAAUCUAUUUUCUUCUCUUGGUAACCUCAAUUGAAUUUUAAUUAUAGUAUAUAUCGAAUGUCUGUAUAUUUGUGUGUUUUGUUUGUGAGAUAUCUAUCUGUUUAAAGUAGACUAGUAGCUUAAAAUCUUGAUUCGUUUUAAAGGAUUAGAUAGGUGAAUAUCACUAUCACUAAAAUAUAUUAACUAUAUCACUAAACUAUAUUAAGUAUAUCACUAAAGUAUAUUAAGUAUAUCACUAAAGUAUAUCAACUAAGAUCAC
rnacentral:lncRNA from 1 species